rnacentral:rRNA from 1 species
UGGUUAGCGGCGGACGGGUGAGUAACACGUAGGCAACCUGCCCGUAAGACCGGGAUAACUACCGGAAACGGUAGCUAAUACCGGAUAAUUUAUCGCUUCGCAUGGAGCGGUAAUGAAAGACGGAGCAAUCUGUCACUUACGGAUGGGCCUGCGGCGCAUUAGCUAGUUGGUGAGGUAACGGCUCACCAAGGCGACGAUGCGUAGCCGACCUGAGAGGGUGAACGGCCACACUGGGACUGAGACACGGCCCAGACUCCUACGGGAGGCAGCAGUAGGGAAUCUUCCGCAAUGGGCGAAAGCCUGACGGAGCAACGCCGCGUGAGUGAUGAAGGUUUUCGGAUCGUAAAGCUCUGUUGCCAGGGAAGAACGUCGGGUAGAGUAACUGCUAUCCGAGUGACGGUACCUGAGAAGA